rnacentral:tRNA from 1 species
GGUCCUAUAACUCAGUUGGUUAGAGUAGCUGACUCAUAAUCAGCAAGUCGUUGGUUCGAGCCCAACUGGGACCACAA